AACGAACGCUGGCGGCAGGCCUAACACAUGCAAGUCGAGCGAGCAUUUCGGUGCUAGCGGCGGACGGUUGAGUAACGCGUGGGAACGUGCCCUUUUCUGCGGAAUAGUCCUGGGAAACUGGUGGUAAUACCGCAUACGCCCUUUUGGGGAAAGAUUUAUCGGAGAAGGAUCGGCCCGCGUUGGAUUAGGUAGUUGGUUGGGUAAUGGCCCACCAAGCCGACGAUCCAUAGCUGGUUUGAGAGGAUGAUCAGCCACACUGGGACUGAGACACGGCCCAGACUCCUACGGGAGGCAGCAGUGGGGAAUCUUAGACAAUGGGGGCAACCCUGAUCUAGCCAUGCCGCGUGAGUGAUGAAGGCAUUAGGGUUGUAAAGCUCUUUCAGCUGGGAAGAUAAUGACGGUACCAGCAGAAGAAGCCCCGGCUAACUCCGUG
rnacentral:rRNA from 1 species